AGAGAAAACCAUAUCAUCAAAUUAGGACGUGGAUAACAAGCUUGACAUCCUUGAAAUAAAUCCAUUCCUCGCUAAAAUGGAUUUACAAUUGGUACCAAACUCCAACUAGUAAAAACUUACUCAAACCCCAGUUUUAAUUUCUUCAACUACAUAAGAACACCAUUAUUGUCAAACACAUUAUAAAGCUACUCCUGAAACGCAGAUUCACGACAUAAAAGUCCAAAUCUAACAGAUCCCAAUAUAUUCCCCCACCCAAAAUAAAAAAUGUAGGAACAGAAUAGAAUAGAAAUAAACAAAAGGGAAAAGGUAAUAACUUUCUGCAGCAAAAACAGUAGUAUUAAUUAAUUAAUUAGUCCCUAAACUCUGAUGUUGAGGGUCAGAUUGAAGAAGGGUCUUCUUUGCAAGAGUAUGCUUGUUGUUGUGCAUCCAUACCUUCAAAACUCUUCUCUUGACUCCAACUUCUUGGCAGAACUGCUGCACCACUCCUUCUUCCUGCUUCUGUAUUUUCCACCCAACUUUCUCUGCAAAGUUGAGCAUCUUCUCCUUCUGCUCCUGACUGAACUUGGUUCUGAACCUCUUCUUCACCAGCUGCGGCGCUCUGCCGCCGUCCUGCUCGUCGGACUCGGAGGGGCCGCCGGCUGUUGUAGGAGUGCAUAAUCAUCUGGUGUGGCCUGUAGCCCUUGUGCUGGUGGUGGUGGUGGCCCAGGAAGAGCUUGCGGCCAAUCCUGGGGUAGCAGCCGUCGCAGGGGUCACCGUCGGCCUCCUUGCGGUGGAAGUUGCGGUGGCAGCCGCAGGCGGAGCAGGUAAGGGCGUCGAGGUCGGCGGUGGGCAUGAACUCGCCGCAGCCGUCGGUGGCGUUGCCGCCCAUCGCAGCCGCGUGGUUCUUGAGGCACUCGCGGUACCUGACGGGCUUCUUGAAAUCGUCGUCGGCGAUCUGGGUGGCGGAAGAAGGGAUGAUAAUGUGGUUGUGGGAUGGCGGUGGAUGAUGAUGAUGGUGAUGGAUCAUGUGGCCAUGCCCACCAUAGGUGCUGUUCAGUGGGAGCGGCAUCUCAUCACCUUCUUCACUUGGAACCUCCAUUAGAUCUUUCCUCUUUUGUGCGUGUGUCACUUGUUUGGAGACCAAAAGGACCACCAGAUUAGGGUGCUAACACCAAUGAUUAAACCUUAAAAGUCAUGCCCUCACUUGUAAAUUUUCCUAUGCGCGCGCUAGCUGUCUUUUUUUUGGGGGGGUGUCAAGCAACGACACUAUAUAUAAAUAUGGGAAUAAAUCACUGAUUCUUAAUUCAAACUGAGUUUGAUUUCAAGAGGCAGAAAUUAAUUAAGGUUAACUUAUUGGGUUGUGGGAUUUAUGGACUGGGAGGAGAAACCAAGAACAAAAUACUAGAUAUUUGUUAGUAGGGAAUGACAGUGAAUCAACCUGCGUUUUUCUUUCUACACAUUGUAAACAUGUUUUCUUGAAUAAAGGGAAGUAAGGCAGAGAUUAGUUUUGUCUGAAAGAAUAGUGUUGAAGGGAAAAAUAAAUAAAGUCAUGUAGUAUAUAUAUGAGGUUCAAGUAANAAUGAUGUUCACGAGCCAGUUUUAUUAUUUCAAACUCCAAACGAAAUGAUGUUUGAAACUCAGUUAUGGUAUUUUAAGCUCUAAAUGAGACGAUGCACAAAAGACCUGUUAUGAUUUUUCAAGCUCCAUACAAGAUGAUGGUUAGAAGUUAGUUAUGAUCUCACAAGCUUCAGAUUGCAUAAUCUCACAAGUCAGCCCUGGUGUUUCUAACUCCUACUGAAAAUGAUGUUUAGAAGUGAGUUAUGAUAUUUAAAGCAUCAGGUAGUGUUGUUGAAACGACUGACGCAUUAAAUCAGAUAUUGUAUUUUAGGGUCCAGACGAGAUAAUGCUAAAAAAUUUGGUGUUCAAAAGUCAGAUAUCGUCUUCGAGUUCUUGAUGAUCAUCUGGUCUUACAGACUUCAGAUGAGAUGAUGUUUAGAUGACAAAUGAGAUCUUAAAUUAAUUCUUAUCCGUCAAUAUAGAAAAAUUGUACAAAAUUUAUACUCCCUCCGUCCGCAAUAUCGUUUUCACAUUUGCCAUUUCGAUCUGUCCGCGAUAUCGCGAAAUGGCAAAUGUGGAAACGAUAUCGCGGACGGACCGAAGUGUAUUUUUAUCAUUCUAGCAAAAAGUUAAUAUUUAAUUGACGAAUAUAGUUGAAAUUAGUACUACCUCCGUCCACCAAAAGUAUGACACUUUGGAGGGACAUACGUUUUAAGAAAAUUGGUGGUGAUUUUUCAAAAGCAGAGACUAAACAUCCGCCAAAUGGACAAAUGGUCCCACCAAAAUUGAAAUGAUAGUUGAGAUUGAAUUAAAAGUGAUUUUUUUUUGUAAAUAAAGAGUGUUUGUAGAGAUAAAAAAAAGUAAUACGGUCAUGCCUUAAAAUGAAAAGUGCCAUAAUUUUUGUGGACACUCAAAAUAACAAAAGUAUCGUACUUUUCGUGGUCGAAGCGAAUAUAAUAUAAACUUUAUUACAUCUAAUUAAAUUAAUUAAAAGAUAAUUAUAUUAUAUAAACCAAUAUAAAUAAUUUAAAUUAUAAUUUAAAGUCACGUCGAAUUUCUACAGGUUAUACUUCUACUAAAUAAGACACCAACAGUAAAAUAAAGGAUUUCAUGUGACAUGCAUCCCCAAACUUAAAACUAAUUGCGUCAAGAAGAGAAAACCAUAUCAUCAAAUUAGGAGGUGGAGAAUAACAAGCUUGACAUCCUUGAAAUAAAUCCAUUCCUCGCUAAAAUGGAUUUACAAUUGGUACCAAACUCCAACUACUAAAAACUUACUCAAACCCCAGUUUUAAUUUCUUCAACUACAUAAGAACACCAUUAUUGUCAAACACAUUAUAAAGCUACUCCUGAAACGCAGAUUCACGACAUAAAAGUCCAAAUCUAACAGAUCCCAAUAUAUUCCCCCACCCAAAAUAAAAAUGUAGGAACAGAAUAGAAUAGAAAUAAACAAAAGGGAAAAGGUAAUAACUUUCUGCAGCAAAAACAGUAGUAUUAAUUAAUUAAUUAGUCCCUAAACUCUGAUGUUGAGGGUCAGAUUGAAGAAGGGUCUUCUUUGCAAGAGUAUGCUUGUUGUUGUGCAUCCAUACCUUCAAAACUCUUCUCUUGAC
rnacentral:lncRNA from 1 species